GCCGCUGUGGCGGAAUUGGCAGACGCGCAACGUUCAGGUCGUUGUCUAGUUUUCUAGGUGCGAGUUCGAAUCUCGCCAGCGGCA
rnacentral:tRNA from 1 species